UUUUUUUUUUUUUUUUUUUUUUUUUUUUUUUUUUUUUCCUCACAGCUGCGA
rnacentral:ribozyme from 1 species